GACGAACGCUGGCGGCGUGCCUAAUACAUGCAAGUCGAGCGAAGCGGCGGAUGGGUGAGUAACGCGUGGGUAACCUGCCCUUAAGUCUGGGAUAGCAUCUGGAAACAGAUGCCAAUACCGGAUACUAAAGGAUGGACAUGCGAUGCAUUAGCUAGUUGGUAAGGUAACGUCUUACCAAUGCGAUGAUGCAUAGCCGGGUGGGGAGACUGAUCUGCCACAUUGGGACUGAGACACGGCCCAAACUCCUACGUGAGGCAGCAGUAGGGAAGCUUCCACAAUGGACGAAAGUCUGAUGGAGCAACGCCGCGUUAGUGAAGAAGGUUUUCGGAUCGUAAAGCUCUGUUGUUGGUGAAGCGGUAAUCAACCAGAAAGUCACGGCUAACUACGUGCCAGCCGCCGCGGUAAUAC
rnacentral:rRNA from 1 species